rnacentral:lncRNA from 1 species
GCUCUGCCUGGCUGUUAACAGCACCAGGGCUUCUCCGCUCUCCCCAGGUAUCUAGCCCCAAAGCUUUUUCAACUCUACUGCUUUCUUAUCUGCCUGCCUGGAACCCCAUCUUCACCUCCUUCAUCUCCCUCUUUCUGGUUUCCCUUCCUGGUGUCCCCGGCCUGCAACAUACUGAGUCCUGCAGCUAUGACCUUCCUCUGGCUCUCAGCUUCUCUCUUUUGAUGCUCAAGAGGUGUAAGAUUGUCACAGCCACAGCAGGGAAGAAAAACAGGCUUCUCUGUGCUCUUAUUGAUGAACUGAGGAGGCCCUUCUCAAGCCUGGCCUCCAGCUCUGGCCUCCAGGCCCUGGGAGGGGCAUUAAACACACGGCCCACCCACCCUGGCUUCAGACUCUCACAGCUUCUGUCGUCACACACUUGCCACUACACCUUCCCCUCUGGCCUCAUAAGGACCUUCAAAGUAAAUCACGGAAGGAAUCCUUAGCCUGUUUUCUUUGGAUGUGGAUAUGGAAAUUCAGCUAGAAGUUGGGGGACCCAGAACUUAGCCUGGGGACUGGUGAUUCUCUCCAGAGCCCUCGGAGCCAGAGCGGCCAGGUGCCAGGUGUGGCUGCUCAACCCCUAGGUUUUCAGUGUCCUUCUUCGGGGCCACUGUCCCUCCAGGCAGUAUGCACAGUGGUUAGGAGCCUCACUAAGAAGAGGGGCUGUGACACCUCUGGAGGUUAAUGGACGUGACAUGCAGAAUGCACCUGGAACACACCUGGCCCUAGAGAGUGCUCCACAGUGGCCUCUGCUCCCUAGCCACCAUUCUCUGUGGCGCUUUAAAAUCCGCCUGCAGGGUGAUCUCAUGUGCUGCCCUCACCGCUGGCCGGUAGGACUUACAGGAAGGAAUCAGGCCGAACCUCUGGAGUGGCACUUUUAUUCUAAGACCACUUCCAGGGAUGAAGGAGGAAAGACGUAGUCAUCUGCUUGCCCCAGCUCACAGCCGGACGCUGCGGCUUUUGGAAAAUAGCCACCAUGAAGCCGGUGGCCCUGGUCCCCCUCUCGAGGUAUCAUAAAGCCAUUCAUAACGGCAUAAACGCCUGACAACACUCCCUGAUGCCAGCCCGGGGUAAGUCGGACAGUGAUGAGGGUGGGAGAAACGCUGUCGGUUAUCUGAGCACCCUCUCUACCGGGACCGUGAUCCCAGCCCGGGAGGAGGGGUCUUUUGCUGUGAAAGGAGCAUUUAUUAGCGCAGGGCCAGUGCCUGGUUUAUGGACCCCAGCUGGGUGGGAGGAUGCCACCCCACCCCGCCUGCAGCCUGCGUCCUGGCCUGAAGUGUUUACUGUCAGGGUGAUUUACACCAUCCAGGUGUUCAUUUGGGAAGCAUCUCGGCUCUGAGCUGACGCGGCGAUUGCAGUGGGUUUGCAGACUGCAGCGUUUUUCUAUUCAUCAGGGUCCAGGGGCCAAAAAAGACAGUUUUUGUAAAUGCUGGCCCAAAGCAGGCUCCUGUCCUGUGAUUCCACAAAGGAAGGCUGAGUGACCAUGUUAGCCAAGCUCCCCGGUGCCCUGUCCGUGUUGGAGAAAUGGGCACUUAGUGCAGUUGCCCUGCUCUCUCAUGGAUCCUCUCAUCAGAUCAGUUCCUCCCGGCAGUCUCUGCCCUCCGAGCUUUGGUGGCCGUGUGGAUGCUAAGCCGGGCUUUCCUUCUGCUCCUUUAGCACCCCGGGGCUUUCAAAAGGGUCUUGCUAAGCAGUUUCUUUUCUUAAUGGAAUUUGGGGUUCACAGACGAGCCUGGAGUGUUGGCGAUUGCUCCAUUUCUCCCCAGCCCCACAGAUCAGCCUCUGCCGGGUGCUUCCAUGUUAAGGGAGACAUUUUUCAGGAGCCGCUUUCUCGAGAUAACCACUCUAUUAUUUUUGCUCACAUUUCAACGCAGGUGAUGGUGUUAUUGUUUUGUCACUGGGUUUCCACGGGGAGUCCCUGACACCUAUGCCUGGCAUAAUUUGAAUGCCGAAUUAAAACAUGCCCCUAUACACUAAAAAUGGCCUUUUUGUUUGAUUAAAAAAACAAAACAAAAACAUAUAUUUUAAAAUUUGUUUUAUCAUAUCCAUCUCACCUCCAUUUAAAGGAGUUUGGACAUUUAUUAACAUAUCCAUUUUUACACUUGUACUAAUCUUUUCUCCAGCCGCUUCUGGUACUCUGAUGAAAAAGCAAGAAAAUGUAUCUUGUGCCUCAUAGAACUCUCUCUCUACACACACACACACACACACACACACACACGAGGGUGAGGGGAGGAUUCUUAUAGUGAAGUAAAAGAUGAUUCUUUGUCUAUGUUUAAUUUUCGCAAAUAACUUUUUAAUGAUCCUGAAAGUAACUUUUUUACUGAUCCUGAAAAUACUGAUGCUGAAAUUUUAAGAGCUCCUUUCAACUUAGCUGGUUUUCUCUCCCUGACGAAAUUCUUCAAGAAUAGUUCUUUUGCACCCUUGCAAGAUCGGUAAACAUAAAGCGUUUGGUCAAGCAGAGGUGGGUUAAAAAGGGGGAACCAUUUGAUCCAGUUUUAGGAAAUAAUAUUAUUCCUUCUGCUUUGAACUCUAUGUUUAAAAUAGUCUUUUACGCCAAUGAUUUGAAUACUAACAAAUUCACUUAAAAAGCAUCCACAAUUCCCGUUUGUUGUGCUCUUUUCUCCCUGGACUAUGAAUAUGUAAACCUCCCCAACAGGGUAAAAAUGCAUUGAUUUGCCACACUAAACAGGGAAACGUUUGCACCAGUGACAACUGUUUAAAAUUACUGGUCCUGGGAUGAGGAAAAAAAUGGCAGAAAUAAAACAAAAUUUUUUAUUUCCAAGCAUCAAGUUGAAGCCCUUUCAAGCGAUCAUCGGCUCCCUGGGAAAUGCCUUUUCUCUGUUACCUGGCACAGCCGAACAUCAAGAAGAAACGUGGAAAACAUCACACUGACCCCCCAGAAAAAUGAAAGAAAAGUACGGAAGAGACCAAUUCCCACCCUUGCUAUAGACGGAAUAAGUAUGUGCGUUUGUGAACCUUAAGUGUUCAUCUAAAUAUGUUGCUUCAACGGAGAUCCGCUUGUGGAUACAGACACACGAAAAUACACGAGACCACGCUCUAUUUUAAGGAAUUGCUGAAGAGUGUUGAACACUCAAACCCACCGCACAGCACCCUCGCAGCUAAGAGCACAAUUGAAUGAAACCAGCGGAUUCAUUUAUUUUAACCUCCACUGGAGCUGUCCCAAAAAAGCAGGUGGCUAUUGAAAGUGUUUUUCUGUUUUUGUCUUUUUUUUUUAAUUCUAAAUAACAAGAGGGAUAAAAAUUAAUGUCGUUCUAUGGGGUCUGAACAUGAAAAGGUACGAGAGAGUGAGCCAGGGCCUGUGAAAUGGCUAAACGGAUUAGUAGCCUUACUUUUCAACAUAUAAACAUCUGAAACCCGUUUCCUGUUUAAGAAAAAAAAAGUCUAGGUGGAUGACCUCGGGCACUUUUUUUUUAUUAACAAAUGUGAAUUGUACAUCAUGGUGGGAAAAAAAAAAAAUGGUCCGCUCUUGGUGGUCUUUCUACAGUCUGUAUAUGGGAGACAGAGAAAAAAAUACAAAAAUAAA